CAAAAAGUAGUUUGUGUAAGUAUGCAACCUCCAAGGAGAAUAUAGAUUCAUUCUUCAGAUGUAGCCACAGAAGCUGAUGAACACAAUCAUGAACCUCCCAGAAGGCAGAGACAUGUGCCAUGGAAGACAGAGGAGGAGAUCAUUUUUCUCACAGCUCAGAAUCUGAAUCUACCCAAUACUCAACUUUCUACAGUCUGCCUUUAUUAGUUCUUCCCAAAAAGACAUCAUCAUUAUGUGUGAACUGACUUGUUUCCCAUUCUGUUUUCUCAAUGAAUUCUUUUUAACUACAGUAAUUUUGUUUCUCUUCCACUCUCAUAUAUUAUUUUCAUUAGCAACUUCAGACCCAGGCAAGAAGGGGUGCUGCUUUGGACUGCAUAUUUUGUCAAACUCAAUUCGAUCCUUCCCCAGCCUAACCCCAGUUUUCAAGGAGAUUGCAAGAGGACAACUUGGCUCUAAAAUCGAUGCAUGAACAUGCCAUUGGAAUUGACCUCGCCAAAAGAUGCCUCCCUAAAUCCACAAGAACCUCCUUGUUUGAACACAGUUUCUAAUCCAGCUGUAGUGAAGACAGACAACAGUCAAGUUAACAAGACUUCCAUUACUAUCUCAAAUAGACAUGGCAGAGUUAGCGUCUUUGUCUUAUUCCUGGUCUUAGAGGAAACACUUUCAACUUUUCACUGGAGUUUCAUGUUACCUGUGGAUUUCUUGAAGAUGAGCUUUGUUAUGUUGAGCUGAUCAGCAGGAGAAGUUUAUACCACUUGAGCUGGAUCUAUCUGCACAUGCACCUGGCCCAGGAAGCUGUAAUGGGAGAUCUGAUGAGCAGUGGAGAACUGAACCAAAGCCCUUGGCUUUUGCUCCAUACCAGUCAGAAUCUCAUCAUGAUAUCGUGUUGCAUUGAGUACUCAUGCCUCCACAGGCUCUUCUUAGCUGUGACUGCUUCGUUUUCCUUGGUUUUGCCCACCUUACGGUUUACAGAAGUAGUGGUCAGCUCUCUACUCCAUCGUCCAUGUAGUAUAACCCUCAUUGGCUGGAAUCAUAAUGACAUCUGCAUCUGGAACUAGCCACCAGUGUAACACCUACAAAAUGCACGGCGACCUUCAGACCAAAUGAAAAGUCUACAGGGUGAGAACCUGAAAAUCCAGCAAUGAGGAGAAAAAAGUUAUUUCCCAUUAAGAACACUUUUCAGAAGCGACACAAUUCCAGUUAUUGAUUCAUCCCGUUUACUAGAACCUGUUCAUCUGGCUAUGCCUAAAAGCAAGGGAAAACUGAAAUAGUGGCUUUUAUAUUUCGUAACUCAGCCUAACCUAGCUUCAGAAGUUUCAAUAAAGAAAAUAUAUUGAAAUAUUUUUAUAGUA